GGGGUCGACAUGGUUUCGACGUGGAUUACAAAGCAUCAAGGGCAUACCGAGGACCCGUUAUCUCGUAAAUCAAUGGGAAUGUAAUAACUGCUAACGACGAACGUUACGCACUAGCCGCUUAAUUGCGGUUGCCCCUGAACUGAUUCUCUCUUGGGUCAGGUAGCGAAAGCUACAUCAGGGUCAUUUACAAGAGAUAAGACUAGCUCGCGUCACGAGGGAUAGUUCGAAAAAUUUAGUGAAUCGCUGGUGUGGAACAUGUCAAUCUGUGACUAACCGGCUAAAUUAAAUGAUAUGACUAAGUAUGUAGAACUUGCUGUAGAGGAUUUGCGGACGCGGGUUCGAUUCCCGCCGACUCCACCA
rfam:Polynucleobacter sp. MWH-Weng1-1 2574185727, whole genome shotgun sequence.